rnacentral:snoRNA from 1 species
AUUGAGGCUUGACUCACAUCCUGGCAUUCUCAUUGUCCUGUUGUGAUAUAGUACUCGUAGAGGAAACUUAUUUGCUUAUUCAUUGGCUAGGCCACAGACUACAGCCAAUCACUGGUUGGUUCAUAUAC